rnacentral:lncRNA from 1 species
CUUGCAGGAACCUAACUGCCCAACUGAAAGUUUGGAUUUGAAUUUGAAAGGACAGCAGGUGCAGGAACUUAACUGAAACAUGUAAAGAUCUCUUCAAUGUAAGACAGAAAAUGAUGGACACAAUUCAAUGGAUAUCAAUCAACAAAGAGGUAUGCAGACGAGGAGGCAUACAGUAGAAACGUAUGUCAGUUAGUAUUGGUAUGUUAUGCAGAUCACAUUUACCAUCCUCCUCCCUUACCUCUUCAAUAAAUAUCCCAUAGGCCUCUACAUUAUGGACAAGGAAACCUGUUCAAUCACCAUCCACUACAAAAUCAUUCUGGCUAUGGAUACAGAGAACAUCAACACAUUAACAUCAACACGCCAGAGGAUAAACCCAUUGGACUUGGGCCUCUGCUGGGAGUUUACCUCAUAUUUUGAUUUUUUUUAUUCUGCUUUGC